rnacentral:misc_RNA from 1 species
ACCAGUCCAGCCACAGCUUACCCAACCGCUUCCUGGCGGCGCAUGUACCUCAGCCAACCGCCUUGCAGACAGCUGCAUUUGGUCAGGAGGUGGAGGAGGAAUCCCAUGGUAGCCAUCGAGCGGGAAGAAGGGAUCACGAUGGGCGAUUUUGUCUUUGAGGUCACGAAGGGGGCGGCGGCGAGUCGGGGUGAUGGGUCUUGGAAUCAGAGGUUUGUGGGGAGUGAUCGGGAUUGGCAUUUCGAGGGAUCGAUCGGGGAGGAGCGGUAGGAGUGGCCUAGAGCUAUAUUUUUCUUUUCCGCUUUGGGGUCGGGCGUCGUAAAGGGUGGGUAGCGGGGGG